AGAGUUUGAUCCUGGCUCAGGAUGAACGCUGGCGGCGUGCUUAACACAUGCAAGUCGAGCGAAGCACUUUUGCGGAUUUCUUCGGAUUGAAGCAAUUGUGACUGAGCGGCGGACGGGUGAGUAACGCGUGGGUAACCUGCCUCAUACAGGGGGAUAACAGUUGGAAACGGCUGCUAAUACCGCAUAAGCGCACAGUACCGCAUGGUACCGUGUGAAAAACUCCGGUGGUAUGAGAUGGACCCGCGUCUGAUUAGCUAGUUGGUGGGGUAACGGCCUACCAAGGCGACGAUCAGUAGCCGACCUGAGAGGGUGACCGGCCACAUUGGGACUGAGACACGGCCCAAACUCCUACGGGAGGCAGCAGUGGGGAAUAUUGCACAAUGGGGGAAACCCUGAUGCAGCGACGCCGCGUGAGCGAUGAAGUAUUUCGGUAUGUAAAGCUCUAUCAGCAGGGAAGAAAAUGACGGUACCUGACUAAGAAGCCCCGGCUAACUACGUGCCAGCAGCCGCGGU
rnacentral:rRNA from 1 species